rnacentral:tRNA from 2 species
UCCCUCGUGGCGCAAUUGGCUAGCGCGUUCGACUGUUACUCGAAAUGUGGCAUCGAGAGGUUGGUGGUUCGAGCCCACCCGAGGGAG